UACGUAGGUGGCAAGCGUUGUCCGGAUUUACUGGGCGUAAAGGGCGUGUAGGCGGUUGGUCAAGUCUGAUGUGAAAGCCCGGGGCUCAGCUCCGGAAGGGCAUCGGAAACUAGCCAGCUGGAGCGCGAUAGAGGAGGGCGGAAUUCCUGGUGUAGCGGUGAAAUGCGUAGAUAUCAGGAGGAACACCGGCGGCGAAGGCGGCCCUCUGGAUCGUUGCUGACGCUGAGACGCGAAAGCGUGGGGAGCAAACAGG
rnacentral:rRNA from 1 species